ensembl:antisense Gm17103 predicted gene 17103
GCUCCAAGGCACCUGAAGACUUACCAGUGAAGUACAAGAAGCAGGAUGAUUGUACGGAUACCACCACACCGUCUUAUAGAUGUUGAUAUACUGAAUGAACAGAACAAUCAGCAGGUAGAUGAAGAAAAGAAAUUCAAAGAACAGGCUCCCAUCUACUGGCUCGGUCUUAGCACCAUCUUCCUUGAGACUCCUGCACCAUGAGAGCGAUGUGGUGGAAGAAGAGAAUGUGCAGGCUGAGGUGCAAGAGAAGAAAGAUGAGGCAGAGGUCCAGGUAAACCAGCCUGUGCACCCUCGAAGCCUGCAGAAGUUAGGGAUGCUCAAGGCCGGGACACCAGAACAAGCUGUCGGACUAUAUGCUGCUGUUGGUAAUAAGUCUCAGGAGACCUGGAACGUCACCUCGCCAUGAUCACCUGGGAAAAUGACUGCCUUUCUUACGGCCAAAACAGUCCUGCUGGACCUCUGCCCUGGACCUUUGGCACUCUGGACUAGUUCUGCUCUCUCUCGUGUACAAUAAAUCCUCUUGUUCUCAGCUAAAGAAUCAAACAAAAG